rnacentral:misc_RNA from 1 species
GAAAUGCGAUAAGUAAUGUGAAUUGCAGAAUUCAGUGAAUCAUCGAAUCUUUGAACGCACCUUGCGCUCCUUGGUAUUCCUUGGAGCAUGCCUGUUUGAGUAUCAUGAAAUCUUCAAGGUAAAUCUUUUGUUAACUCAAUUGGUUUCUACUUUGGUAUUGGAGGUCUUUGCAGCUUCACACCUGCUCCUCUUUGUUCAUUAGCUGGAUCUCAGUGUUAUGCUUGGUUCCACUCGGCGUGAUAAGUUAUCUAUCGCUGAGGACACUGUAAAAGGUGGCCAAGGUAAAUGCAGAUGAACCGCUUCUAAUAGUCCAUCGACUUGGACAAUACUUUUAUGAUCUGAUCUCAAAUCAGGUAGGACUACCCGCUGAACUUAAGC